GGAAUAUUGCACAAUGGGGGAAACCCUGAUGCAGCGACGCCGCGUGAGCGAAGAAGGCCUUCGGGUCGUAAAGCUCUGUCCUAAGGGAAGAAACGGACGGUACCUUAGGAGGAAGCCCCGGCUAACUACGUGCCAGCAGCCGCGGUAAUACGUAGGGGGCGAGCGUUAUCCGGAAUUAUUGGGCGUAAAGGGUGCAUAGGCGGCCUUUUAAGUCAGAUGUGAAAGGCUACGGCUUAACCGUAGUUAGCAUUUGAAACUAAAAGGCUUGAGUGCAGGAGAGGAGAGUGGAAUUCCUAGUGUAGCGGUGAAAUGCGUAGAUAUUAGGAGGAACACCAGUGGCGAAGGCGACUCUCUGGACUGCAACUGACGCUGAGGCACGAAAGCGUGGGGAGCGAACAGG
rnacentral:rRNA from 1 species